GGCGCCGUUGUUAUUAGGCUCGGGAAGGCUGGCGGCGCGCGGCAGCAGGGUUGGGCUCUGGCCGGGAGUCGACCGAGGGAGCGAGGGCAGGGAGCGCGCCCGCGCGUGCGCGCGCUCUCGCGCCGGGUCCGUCCGCCGCGGCCGCCGUUCGCCCGCCUAACGCCUCGUGCCCAGGCCUUGCUCGGCGUCGUCGGCCCUUCCUGCGCGCCUCCCUCGCCGGCCCUCAGAUUAUCACACACCCUUUGUGAGAUGAGGCAGCAUUAAGCAAGUCACUGAAGGCCUUGGUGUAAGAUACAGACACCAUCUGCUGACAAGAGGCCGUAUCCUCCAAAUAGCCUUGAUCUCCCCUGCUCCUGCUCCUCCCUUCUCUGAUGGUGACACCACUUUCUUCUGUGACUGAGGAUAAAAGUGAGACAGACCAACAAGCUGUCCUGGAAAGGCCCAGCGGAAUAAGGAAGGGUCUUGCUGGCACAUGGUGUGAUGCUACAAGACCAGCCCAAGGUGCCCACUGCAGUGAAGAAAGCCUCUCAGCUGCCACCAAAGCAGGCAAGGAGCUGGAGACAUCUGGGAAUCUGCUCCACAACAUGCUUGGGACAUCUAUGCUGGGGCCUCCCAAGCCUCCUGCUGCUCCGGUGGCCCCAAGGCAGACAUUUGGAGCUUCUUCACUGAAUCCAGCAGAGAAGUCGCUGCACCAUCGCUGACUGCCAUCACGCUGUGAUUAGUUAAUCACUAAGUACAUGGGGCUUUUAAUUAACUGCCAGCCUUGUGCAGGCAGCUGUCGCACAGCCGCAUCUGAUCAUGGCUCCUCAGUCCAGGCUGAUGCAACAUUUAGUCACACGCUGGAUACUUAGCUGUUCUGAUGCCGAGGGGAUGGCAGCUGCCAUGACUGCAGCCCUAAGGAAGCCACCAGCCACGGGAAGGAGACAGAAAACAGCUAUCAGCCUCAGCCUUCAGAUUUGACCUCUGCGAAGCCCAGGUGUGAUUGAGAUCAUGCGCAAGGUUGCCGCAGGCUCACCGUGCUGACUGUUUCCAGCCCCAUCACUGGAAAGACAGCAGAAGCCUGGGACUCAUUUAAUUUUUGUUUUAUUUUUCAUUUGGUUUUCUGUUGACAUAUACUACACAUCUGUGAGGCACACUGAUGUUUUGAUCCACGUAUGCAUUGGGUAAUACUAACCCAGGUAUUGAAGACAUCCAUCACCUCAUACAUUUACAAUCUCUUUGUGGUGAGAAUGUCCAAAAUCCUCUCCCCUAGCUGCUUUUGAAGUAUGCAGUGUGGUUCUGCCAUCCCAUUAACCCUACUGUGCAGCAGAGCACUGGGGCUUUUCCGCCCAUCUACCUGUGACUUGGCUUCCCUCCCCCAACCUCUCUUCCCACCACAGCCUCUGGUAGCCACUGAUCUCCUCUCCACUUCACGGCCUCAGCCUCUUCUCAUCUCAUGUGCCAGUGAGGUCAGGUAGGAUUUGCUUUUCCAUCAUUUGCAUUCUUGACCCUCCACAACGUGAGGCUAUUGUUUCCCUUUCUCAGCCUCACGCUCCCCUCUGUGCAGCGAGAACAGGACCCACUGUCCUGAGAAGCAGGACCUCAGCAAGCAGCAUCAGCUCUGCAGACUUUGGUUCCUGCGGCUAUGGCCUCGGGUCUGCUGGUUCAUGGAGAAAACAGAUGACAGAACAUGUGACAGCACCCAGUGUAUGGCCCGGCAAGGAAGAUGGUGCACUGGAGCCAAAGGCAGCUCUGAGGCCAUGAGAGCCUGCCCCUUAGGGCCCGCACCCCCACAUACCCUCCCUCUGCCCCUAGUGCUCAUGUAAUAGGAUCCAAAGGCAGAGCUGUGACCCUGUGAGCAUGGGCACCUAGGUGUCCCCUCGCCACCCCCACACAUGACAAUCCACGCACUGGGCUCUUCCAGGAGAAAGUCACAAAUAGGCUUUCUGUGCAACAGAUAGAUGGUCAGCUGCCACCCACCAUGUUCCAUGCUGUCAUCUUCCUUCCUGCAGCCCCCAGACCACCGCCCUGUCUAGUUGGGUAAGUUUACUUACAAUUACCAGAAUUGGGCUAGGACCCACUGAUCUGCCUCAUUGUGAGGCAGAGCUGUUUAUCAUGGCCAGGCCUAGGAUGCCCCCAGCUGAUCAAGUCACCAGACUCUGGGGUCAGCCACCCUCUGGGUGACAGAGAGUGGAGGGAACCGUCAUCACCCUGGACAGCAGGAAAAGCCCUCCAUGAGCCUAAGCCACCCCCAAAAGCUCCUCCAGGCUAAUUUCUGCCUCCUGGCUCCAUCUCAGAUGCUGAUAGCCCUAGAGGAGAAACUAGGGGUCCAGAUGCCUGCUCCCCACCUCCUGCUCCAGCUUCUCGGGGCCAUCCUCCUGUGAAUGCCAAUAUGGCUCUUACUCUUGGUCACCCUAGGCCCAAGUGUUUGUCGGUGUUGUAUUUCUCAUCUACCAUUUAUUAAGCACCUACUGUGUGCCUGGCACAGUGUUAGAUAAAUUAUCUAGAUAUUUCAUUGCAUGUUCACAGUUGCUAGAAUUGGAAACUACUACUGGCUUCAUGUUACAGGUGGCUAAGCCAAAAAAGCCUAAGCCACCUUCCCGGGGGUCACAACCGGUACAUGGUAGAUUCUUAUGUCUUAAUCAUGAUGUUAUCCUGUGGCCUGAGUUCCUGCAACUUCUCAAAGCCCUGGGUCACCUCUUGAGCACCUCCUAAUGCCCUCACCAGUGAACAAGGCUGAUGUUAGUGCUUCUUGACAGAGGAGGAAGCAAAGGUCUUGGAGAACUGUCCUCCCUGCAGUCAUAUGGUAUCCCUACAGGAGAUAACACAAGAAAAGGAGUUGAGCAAGUUAACCCCUAACACCCAGGCUGCACUCUGCCCACUGCCCCACCCAAAGGUCUCCCCUUCCUGAAACGCAUGAACAGAUGCACAGGGAGCCUUCCACGGUUCCCACCCUACUGGCUCCCCGUCCUCCCAGGAGAAGAGCAAGAAGCACCAGGCUUCACUGGCAAUAAGGUCUUCAGGGCAGUCAGCCCCAGUGUGCAGUGGGGAGAAAUCUGAGACACUGAGCCUGGGAGGAGUGUGGACCAGGGCUCCGUCAGGUGUGAAUCCAGCUGCACCACACAGCAGCCAGCCAGACAGUCUAGGGCCUGCGGGACUGCAUGUCUUUGGACUUUCCACUCCACGUCCAUAAAGAGAAUACGAAUGUCAGCUUUUUAGGAACAAAAGUGGGAGGGAAACUUGAUCACUUUCUAAUUUUUAGUGGUUAGAAUUAUUACCUAAUUCAGAGGGUCAAAAACUUAAGUGGAGCUAUACGGGAAUGCACACCUGUAAUCUGGGAAUGCACACCUGUAAUUGAAGCACUUGAGAAGGCUGAGGCAGGAGGACUGCAACCUCAAGCCAAGUUUGGGCAACUUAGAGAGACCUAUAUCAAAACAAAUAAUCUUAAAAUGGGCUAGGAAUAUAGUCCAGUGCCAAGACUCCAGGUUCAGUCUCUAGUACAAUAAAAAAGAAAAAACAAAAACAGUCCUGAGGGGACAAGGCAUGAGGUGGUGUGGCUGGCCAGAUGGGACUGUGGGAACAAGUGUCACACACCCUGAAGGGAACAAGUGCUAUUGAGGCACUGUCAUAUCAGAUCAUUUUUCUAUUAAAACAAAUUAGAAAUCUGAA